GCACUGGUGGUUCAGUGACAGAAUUCUGGCCUUUCAUGCAGGAGUCCUGGGUUCAAUUCCCAGCCAAUGCA
rfam:Loxodonta africana unplaced genomic scaffold scaffold_15, whole genome shotgun sequence.